rnacentral:lncRNA from 1 species
AGCUCCCAGCGAUCGCGUCCGGCUCCUCGCACCAGCCCGCCUCUCAACCAAGGUCCAAAGAAGGAAUCCCGAGCCGGAAUCCCAGCCUCCGACGCCGCAUCCGAGCUCCAACGAUCAUCGACGCCUUCCUUCCGUGAUCCCGAAAUCCCAGCACCAGUUUCGCUCCUGCCGUCCGCGUUUCUCCCACCGCGUGCCAGCAGCCCACCUUCCGCUUCAGCUCCCAGCAGCACCCGAAGAAGGAAGCCCCAGCGUCCACGGCGUCCUCCCAUUGAUCUCGGAUCGCCUUCCAUUCCAUGUGCGAUCUCGGAUGAUCGCUUCUUCCAUUUCAGCGCGUCCCCAGCCGUGAUCCACUCCUCCGCAUUCUUCUCCC